rnacentral:tRNA from 1 species
GUGCCCGUAGCUCAGGUGGAUAGAGCAGCGGUUUCCUAAACCGCGUGUCGGGGGUUCGAGUCCCUCCGGGCGCACCA